AUACGGAGGGUGCAAGCGUUAUCCGGAUUUAUUGGGUUUAAAGGGUGCGUAGGCUGUGCGUUACGUCAGGGGUGAAAUGCCGUCGCUCAACGACUGAGCUGCCCUUGAUACUGGCGUGCUGGAGUACGGAUGCCGUUUGAGGAAUGAGUGGUGUAGCGGUGAAAUGCUUAGAUAUCACUCAGAACACCGAUUGCGAAGGCAUCUGACGAAUCCGUCACUGACGCUGAGGCACGAAAGCGUGGGGAUAGAACAGGAUUAGAUACCCUGGUAUUCCACGCCGUAAACGAUGAUGACUAACCGUCGGCGAUAGACAGCCGGUGGCCAAGCGAAAGCGAUAAGUCAUCCACCUGGGGAGUACGUCGGCAACGAUGAAACUCAAAUGAAUUGACGGGG
rnacentral:rRNA from 1 species